rnacentral:lncRNA from 1 species
AUGGGGGCUAGUUAUGCCUCCCAGCAGUAUCUGAAGAUUGGCCAUAAUGUGGCUAAGAUUCCCCAGAUGAGAAACUCGAUGAGUGCUGAGUAUCAGCCUCUUCCUGCUGCUGCACGUACCUGUGAUGGAAGAGAUCCCAUGUUUGUGAGACAGUCACACACCAGAGACACACACCGGAAGCAUGAACAGGCCUCCUUCCCACCCCACCCCCAACACCCUGCUCCUGUGUCCUGGGGGUCUCCUGACCCUGAUGCCCUGGUCAGAGGUGGUUCUAGCAUCAGAGAUGAGUGUCCCCCGCCAGUAGGUAAGGGUGGUGCUCAGGGCAGGUUGGGAGACAGGCAGCAGCUGCUGCAGAAGCUUGAAGUGAAGUGAAAGUCACUCAGUUGUGUCCGACUCUUUGCGAUUCCAUGGACUGUAUAGUCCAUGGAAUUCUCCAGGCCAGAAUACUGGAGAGGGUAGCAAUUUCCUUCUCUGGGGGAUCUUCCCAACCUAGGAAUCAAACCCAAGUCUCCCACAUUGCAGGUGGCUUCUUUACCAGCUGAGCGUCAGGGAAGCCCACUGUGGAAUCUUAGCUGCAGAAGGUUCUAGAAUUCCCAGGGAGUGCCCCCUACCCUACUCCAGGGUGGACCAGCCCCCUGUAUAUAAGAAGAAAUAGGCAUUUGGUCCUUGUCCCUGGCUCCUGAUUCAGAGCCUCUCAAAGCCUUGGAAUCUCUGGUGAUAGGGGGAUAGGAGUCUCUUUUGUCCUAUUCUUUGGUCUUUGGGAACAUCUCUUGGAAUUUCCUGGGUGAUGAGAGAACUUUUUGUCCUAAUGGGAUAAAUCCUGGUGGGCUCCUAAAGUAAGUUGCCAGAGACCAAACCACGAUUAGAAGCUAGGAACUUUCAGCCGCAAACCCCAGCCUCUGGGGAGGAGAGGGGGACUGGGGACUGAGUUACUGAUCAAUCAUGUCUACAUGAUGAAGGCUCCAUGAAAAUCCCAGUGGCACAGGGUUCAGGUUGGCGGACACAUCCAUGCGCCAGGAGGGUGGUACACCCCAAGAGCACCCUUCCAGCCUCGCCCUGCGUAUCUCCCCAUCUGGAUGUUCAUAUGUAUCCUUUGUGACAUCCCUUAUAAUAAACUGGUAAAUGUAAGCACAGUGCACUCCUGAGUUCUGGGAGAUAUUCUAGCAAAUUAUGAAGGGAAUCCCUGACUUAGAGUCAGUUGGUCAACAGCAGGGGAUGCUCAGGAACUGUAACUGGCGUCUGAAGUGGGGGCAGCCUUGGGAAAAGCAGCCCAUAACCUGGAGGUUUGCUCUCAUUCUGGGUCAUUAGUGUCAGAGUUGAGCUGAACUGCUCAACAACCAAAUGUGCUGGGAGACUCAGAGAACUGGUUCUGGCACUGGAAGUCACCCCACUAUCUCAACUUUCAAAGUGACAGGGAGACCCCCCUAUAUGAGGGAAACAUCACAAGGACAGUCUCAUGAAUGCCCCAGAGAGGGGCCUCUGAGAAGCUCCUGAAGGCACACAGAGAGACCUCCAUCCCACAUCAGAAGAGCCAGACCCAACCAGACACAAAAUGAAAAGGCAACCUACAGAAUGUCAGAAAAUAUUUGCAAUGUGACUGACAAGGGCUUAACUUUCAAAAUAUACAAACAGCUCAUACAGCACAAUAUCAAAAAAUAAACCCGCUCAAAAAAUGGGCAGAAGACCAUGGGCAGUUCUCCAAAGACAUACAGAUGACCAGUAGGUACAUGACAAGGUGCUCAACAUCACUAAUUAUUAGAGAAAUACAAUCCAAAACUGCAAUGAGGUACC